rfam:Trichobilharzia regenti genome assembly, scaffold: TRE_scaffold0003376
GUACUGAUGAAGAGUCCCAAACUAGGACGAAACGGCUGUCCAGUAC